UUCCAGACUCCUACGGGAGGCAGCAGUGGGGAAUAUUGCACAAUGGGGGGAACCCUGAUGCAGCGACGCCGCGUGAGCGAUGAAGUAUUUCGGUAUGUAAAGCUCUAUCAGCAGGGAAGAAAAUGACGGUACCUGACUAAGAAGCCCCGGCUAACUACGUGCCAGCAGCCGCGGUAAUACGUAGGGGGCAAGCGUUAUCCGGAUUCACUGGGUGUAAAGGGAGCGCAGGCGGUACGGCGAGUCUGAUGUGAAAACCCGGGGCCCAACCCCGGGACCGCACCGGAUACUGCCGGACUCGAGUGCCGGAGGGGCAGGCGGAAUUCCUGGUGUAGCGGUGAAAUGCGCAGAUAUCAGGAGGAACACCGGUGGCGAAGGCGGCCUGCUGGACGGUAACUGACGCUGAGGCUCGAAAGCGUGGGGAGCGAACGGGAUUAGAUACCCGAGUA
rnacentral:rRNA from 1 species